CCCGGUCAGGGCGCCGGAUUCUGUCCCGGUUGCCCCUCUUCCAGGCCAGCUCUCUGCUGUGGCCAGGGAAGGCAGUGGAGGAUGGCCUAAGUCCUUGGGCCCUGCACCCCAUGGGAGACCAGGAGAAGUACCUGGCUCCUGCCAUCGGAUCAGCACGGCGGCCAUUGGAGGGUGAACCAACGGCAAAAGGAAGACUUUUCUCUCUGUCUCUCUCUCUCACUGUCCACUCUGCCUGUCAAACACACACACACACAAAUACACCCAUAUUGUCCUCCUGCUUAAAAUUAUACAUUGGCUUCCUAUAGCCUAAAGUUGUGGUCUGUAAAGUGAGGCACCCACUUGCUGCAUGGUCUCAAGACCAUCCCCUGAGAUGUAAUAGGAAAAUAUUAGACCUUCUAUUUUUGUUUUAUUUAUUUAUUAGAGAGAGAGUGUUUCUCUCGCUGCUGGGCCACUCCCCAGUGCCCACAACAGCUGGGGCUGGGCCAAGACCGAAGCUCGGAGCCAGGAACACAAUCCAGGAUUCUCACGUGGAUGAAGGAGCUCAAUGACUUGAGCUAUCACCGCUGCUGCCCAGGGUUUGCACUAGCAGGAAGCUGGAGUCACGAGUUGGAAUUGGGAAUUGAACCCAGAAACUCCAAUGCGGGAUGCAGGCGUCCCCACAGCGAGCUAAGCGCCUGCUCCUCUACUCGCUUUUUAUCCUAACAUGGUGAUAUCUGGCAAGACUGCAGUGUAAUAUCACAGGAUAUUGACGGUGAUAGAGUCAAGAUAGAGAACUUUCCAUCGCCACAAGGAUCCCCUGUGCCCCCUUUUAUAGCCACGCUCACCCCUCUCCUACUCCAAACCCUCCUUAAGCCCUGUAGUUAGCAUUCUGUGGGUACAUUUCAGGAAUGCUAUAGAAAUGAAAUCAUACACUCUGUAUGCUCUUGGGCUUGGCUGCGAGCCCUCAGCACACUUCACUGGAGCGUCGUCCAGGUCGUUGCAUUUCCCACGAGUUCAUUCCUUUUUAUUGUUGAGUAAGACAGUAUUUCAUGAUACAAAUGCACCGAUUUGUUUAACCACUCACCCAUUAAGAGACAUCUGGGUUGUUUCUAUUUCAGAUAAAUGUUUGUGAACAGGUUUUUAUGUGAACAUCAGUUUUCAGGGAUAAAUGCUCAGUAGUGCAAUUGUUGGGCUGUUUGGUGAUUGCAUAUUUAGUUUUAUGAGAAGAAGCUACCAAGCUGUGUCCCUAAAGGGCUGUGCUGUUUGCACGCACUCCAGCAAUGUCUGCGGCAUCCACUUUCUCCACAUCUUUGCCAGCAUUUGGUCUUGUCAUCCUUUUUUUUUUUUUUUCUUACAGCCAUUCAGAUAGGUGAAUUGUAAUAUGACUUUAAUUCUCAUUUUCCUGAUGGGUUUUCAUGGUGAACUUUGUUUCAUGUGUUUACUUGAUAUUUGUAUCAUCUCAUGGUCAGAUGUCUAUUCAUCUCUUUUGUCCAUUUUCUGAUUGGAUUGUUUGUUUUUUACUAUUGAAUUGUGAGUUCUUUAUGUAUCCUAGGUUACGCAUCAUAUAUGUGGCUUGGCAAAUAUUUUCUCUCCCUCCUAUCUUUUUAUCCUCUUAACAAGAUCUUUCACAGAGCAAGUUUUUAAUUUUGGUAUACUACUCAUUUGUCAAUCUUCGCUUUUAUAGCUCAUGCUUUUGGUGUCAAGUCUAAGAACUCUCUGCCUAGUCCUAGAUCUGAAAGAGUCUAUCCUAUGGUGUUUUCCAGAAGUUUUAUAGUUUUAUCUUUAAGGCCAUGAUCCAUGUUGAAUGAAUUUUUGUAUAAAGUAUACAGUUUAAUUUGAAGUUCACUUUUUUGCUGAUGAGUGUCCAGCUGUGCCAGCACCAUUUGUUGAAAAGGUUAUCUUUCUGCCACUGCAUUACUUUUGUACUUUGAUCAAAAGUCAGUUUAGUACAGGGCAGCGUUGUAGCUUAACAGGUUAAACCAUCCUUUAUCAGAGCGCCAGUUCAAGUCCUGGCUGCUCCAUUUGCAAUCCAGCUCCCUGCCAAUGCCCCUGGGAAGGUAGUAGAAGAUGGGCCAAGUGCUUGUGCCCCUGACACCCAUGUGGGGAACCUGAUGGACUUCUUGGCUCAAGGCUUUCUGCUUGUCCCAACCCUGGCUGUUGUGGCCGUUUGUGGAAUAAACCAUGGGUGGAAGAUCAAUUGAUCUCUCUCUCUCCCUGUUUCUGUCACUCUGCCUUUAUGAAUACAUAUAUAUAUAUAUAUACACACACACACACACACACACAUACAUACAUUUUUAAAAAAUAUUUAUUUGACAGGCAGAGUUACAGAGAGGCAGAGGCAAAGAGAGAGAAGUUUUCCAUCCACCAGUUCACUUCGCAAAUGGCUGCAAUGGCAGGAGCUGGGCUGAUCUGAAGCCAGGAGCCAGAAGCUCCUCCCAGGCGCAGGUGCCCAAGGACUUGGGCCAUCUUCUAUUGCUUUCCAGGCCACAGCAGAGAGCUGGAUCGGAAGUAGAGCAGCUGGGACUUAAACCGGCACCCAUAUGGGAUGCUGGCAUCACAGGCUGUGGCAUUAUACACUAUGUCACAGCGCCAGGUCCCAUAACACAUGUUCUUGAUUGCUGUAACUAUAUAAUGUGUUGACAUUUGAUAGAUUGAUUUGACCACUGUAUUCUUUUUCAAAAAUUUUUGAGCUAUUUUAGUUCCUUGUCUUUAAUUACACAUUUUAGAAUUAUCUUGUCUAUAUUUAUAAAGACAUCCUGUGGGAUUUGGGUAGGAAUUACAUUAAAUUGUGUAUCAAUUCGAGGAGAACUGGUAUCUUUACUUUGUUGAGUCUUCCACCUCAUAACAGUAUAUGUGUGUUACUCCAUUUAUAUCUUCUUGGAUUGUCAUCGUUUCUGUAGUUUUCAGCAUACACGUUCUGCACGUGUUUGGUGAGAUUUGUUAGUAUUGCUUUCUUUUCCCUCUUUCAGAGAUUAUGGAUAAUGUUGUGUUUUUUCUUUGGUGUUCAUGUGUUCAUUGCUAGCACCUAAAAUAGAAUUAAUUUGUGCAUGUUUCUCUUGUGCCUUACUGAUAGGUUAUGCUUCUUGAACUCAGCCAUUCUAGAAAUUUUGUUUUGAUUUUUAUAUUUAUUCUUUGGAAUUUUCUAUGUAACCAUUAUGUCACUUAUAAACAGAAGUAGGUCUGUUUUCCUUUUUUUUUUUUUUUUUUAAGAUUUAUUUAUUUAUUUAUUUGAAAAGCAGAGUGAAAGAAAGAAUCUGGAAGUUGUUCCAGGUCUCCCACAGGGGUGACAGGGGCCCAAACACCUGGGCCGUCUGCGUUCCCAGGCUCAGUAGCAGAGAGCUGCAUCAGAAGUGGAGGAGCCGGGACUCAAUCCCGCACCUGUAUGGGAGGCCAGCAUCGCAGGUGGUGGCUUUACCUGAUCAACGCUGGUCCAGCAGAUGCUCGUUGUUAACUUAAGAACAUUCCUCUGUAUUUUACUGCGUGUUGCUUUUUUUUUUCUUAAUCACCAACAAGUAUUGAGUUGUCAUAUACUUGUUCAAAAGUUUUAUUUAUUUAAAGCCAGAGAGGGGGACACUGAUUUGGGAUGAUCAUCUUAGCUGCUACAGUAAGUACCUGCUCAUAACAUAACUUUUUAUGAUCUCAAUUGAUUUCAUGUUGUUUUUCUUCUUUAGACUCAUUUUUUAAAAAAAAGAUUUAUUUAUUUAUUUGAAAGGCAGAAUUACAGUCUUCCAUUGCUGGUUCACUCCCCAGAUGGCCAGAACAGCGGAGCUGGGCUGAUCUGAAGCCAGGAACCAGGAUUCUGGGUCUCCCAAGCGGGUGCAGAGACCCAAGCAGUUGGGCCAUCUUCUGCUGCUUUCCCAGGCGUGUUAGCAAGGAGCUGGAUUGGAAGUGGAGCAGCCAGGAAUCGAACCAGCACUCAUAUGGGAUGCUGGCAUCACAGGCGGCCACUUUACCUGCUACUCCACAACGCCAGCCCCUGGGAGUUUUUAAAUUAUGAAAUAGGGGCCAGCACUGUGGUGUAGUGAGUAAAGUCGCCGCCUGCAGCGCCGGCAUCCCAUAUGGGUGCCAGUUGGAGUCCCGAGUGCUCCACUUUUGAUCCAGCUCUCUGCUAAUGUGCCUGGGAAAGCAAUGGAAGACAGCCCAAGUGCUUGGGCCCCUGCACCCACAUGGGAGACCUGAAAGAAGCUCCAGGCUUUGAACCGGCCCAGCUCCGGCCAUUGUGGCCAUUUGGGGAAUGAACCAGCGGAUAGAAGACCUUUCUCUCUGCCUCUGCCUCUCUGUGACUCUGCCUUUCAAAUAUAUUAAUAAUUUAAAAAAUAAAUCACAAAAUAAAAUUCCUUAAUAGUUACAGAACUAUUCAAACUUUCUGUCUCAUAUUGGAUGAGUUGUAGAUUGUAUUUUUCCCAAUUUGUCCAUUUUGUAGAGGUUGUCGGAUUUGUGUGAGUGGAGCUGUCGUGUUUCCUGACUGUUGUCUUGGUGUCUAUAGGGACUGCAGGUGAUACCCUGUAAUUUGUAUAUUGGCAAUUUGGGUCUUUUUCUUUCCUCUGUCAAUUUUCCUAUAUGUUUUCAAAGAACUGGCGCUUUGAAUUUCAGUGAAUGUCUCUGUAUUUUUCAACUUCUUUGAUUUCUGCUCUUGUCUUUAGUGCUUCCUUCCUUCUACUUGCUGUAAGUUUUUUUGUGCUGAUUUUCUAUGUUCUUGAGAUGCAGCUUAGAUUGUUGAGACUUCUUUUCCAAUAUAUGCAGUGAGUGCUAUACAUUUUGCUCUCAGUGGUCUGUUAACACAAAUUUUAAUUAUAUUGUAUUUGCUUUUUCAUUUAGUUCCAUAGAUUUUUUUUUUCUCCCUUAAGACUUUCUCUUUCACUGAUGGGCUAUUUUGAAGUGUGUCAGAUUUUCCUGUUACCUUUCAGUUAUUGAUUUUUAGUUUUAUUCCAUUGUGAACACGCUGAGAACACGCUGUCCAGCUGGUGGGGGUUUGUCUUGCGACCGGGAUGUGGUCUAUGUUAUGGUCUUGGAGCACGGGGACUCACCUGCACUCUGCUGUGUGGGGAAGGCAUCUCUCCUCACAGGGAAUCGGUCCAGAUCCUGCUUCUACGUCGGUGUGGAUUUUUCUCCCCGGUUGUUCUGCCGGUCGUUGAAAAGGUCGUGGAAGUUUCUGAGUGAAAUUGUGGAUUUGUCUACUUCUUUCUAACCUGCAGCUUUUGCUUCACAUAAUUCACAAUGCUAUUGGAUCACUGUGUCUUCUUGCUGGAUGGAACCUUUUAUCAUUGUAUAACAGAAAUGAAGCAAUAAGAGAAACACAGAGGGUAAAGGGUGCUGGGUAGGGAUGGAAGUUCAGGCUCCCUGUGUGAUUUAGGGGAAGGGAAAAUUCAGGUUUUCUUUUGAAGUUUAUUGUCAGGUGGUUACCAAUUUAAAAACACACUCUGCUGGUGAGGCUGGACAGGCCCCUCAAACAUUGCUUUGGGGAUUGUGCGUCGGUACAACUGGCAUAAGCAGUACUGUGGUAAUAGCUAACAAGAUCACAAACUCACACAGCCUUUGGCCAAGCAGUUCCACUUCCAGGAAUUUAUCAAAGAUGUACGCACGCGUGUGUGCGAUGACGUUAAGAGCAGGAGAUGGGAAACACUCUAAAUGUCCUUCAGUAGGAAACCUGCUAAAUAAAUACUGCAACGGCCCACACAGUGCAAUACGGAGGCAGCCAUUUUUAGAAAGGAGAUGUGUAUUACGCGGAACCAUCUUCAAGAUAUAAUGUUAAAUGGAGGGGGAAAGUCAGGUGCAGGAACAGUGAAUCUAGUAUGCUAUUAUUUGCUUAAAAGAGAAAAAAAGAACACAUAGACAGGUAUUUGCCUAUAACACAAACAAAAAUGUCUUAGGCCAGAUAUAGGAGAAACUUCUAACAAUACUUCCUGGGGGUCCUCUCAUCCUCUCGCUGAAAACCCAGGGGGCAAAUAACCCCUCCAAGUGCAGGCUCUGAUGAUGCUUCUGGGCAGGCUGCAGGAGACCCCUGAGACCCUAGCCAGAGGUUGUCCGUGUGGACCCUGCUCCUGCCCUUUGCACCUGCCCUUGCCCUGUUUGCUUUAGCUGACACAAGACGCCAGGGCUCCGAGGGGCGGGGUGGGGUGGAGAGAGCAGAAGCCUGCCCAUUGGCCACGGGGCUCUCCAGGCUGCCCACACCCGCAUCCCCAGUUGCUCCCUUGGAGUAAUUGGAAGACUUCAUGGCUGGGGAAUGGGUCCCCGCGGCUGAGGACGCUUGCUGAUGGAGAGGGGCGGGAUUCUGCAGCCCUGGGGAGACCCACCUGCCACUCCACCCCAUCCAGGUGUCUCUGCCCUCCACCCACCACGUACUGGCCCUCUCACACGUGGCCCUCACGAUGUGCCCUGGAGUCUCCCCUGGGAGGUACCUUUUAGAGACCCCAGGCCCGCACUCUUCUGCCUCGCUCAGUCCUUCUCUUCUCCGACUGCUGGGGCCUUGGUGAUGGGUAGUGGCAGCAGAGGGGUCCCAGGAGCUGCCGACUUCCACCCCUGCAAGCUUCCGCCUUUGAUGGAGCUUUCCAGGCUCAGGAUGUAUGAGAAUAUUCUUCACUAGCCACAGGCCCUAUCUGAGCCUCAGUCUUUCUACCUGUAGAAUGGGUGUAUGUAAGUGUGCUGAGGGUGAGGGUCUGCUUAUGUGUGUCUUAGGUAUAAUUUCAUGUUCUCGAAGCUGUCUGAUUAUGUGCCUGUACCACUUCUUCCAAGAGGAUCAGGAAUGUGGUUUUGUCACCAGCUGUAUCCCUACGUCCAGUUCAGUUCCUGGCACACAGAAUGUACGUGAUGUUUGUGGGAUGAGUUAGUAUUCCCAGACACCUUCCCUGGGACCCCACUGUGAUGGCUGCUGUCUCUUGGCUUCAACCCAGAGUGCUGUCUGUCCCUGGGGCAGGGGGCAGGGGGCAGGGGUUCCCCAGGUCUCUGAUGUCCCCUGCUGAUGCUGGGACCUGGCUCCAUGGAGCUGAUAAUCUCUGGGGUCACUUCCCACAGUAGUCUUCCCACUUCAUUCUCACAUUUGCUGGGAGAUUGGGCAAGAGACUUUAGGAAUCACGGGGUCAGGAUGCUGCCACCCCCUUCACUUCCUUGGUGACAAUGCCACAGAGCAAUGCAAAGUGAACGCCAGGUGCUGUUGGAACUUGCCUGGAGUGGGGACAGCGGGGGGGGGGGGGGGGGGGGGGCGGUUGCAGACCCAGUGAGGGGUGAGAUCUGAGGGUCACUGACAAAGGGAGAAAAGCAGUUUCUACUGGGAGCCGUGAGGGUGCCCACCCACUUCCCCUCUGCCCUUUGCUGAGAACGAGUCCUGAUAGGAGUCACUACCCCACUCUGCCAGGAGAGGGCACUCUGCUCCCAGCUUUGGCGUCAGCCUGCCACCCUCCAGCUCCUUGCAGUUACUGCUCCCUCCCUCCCGUUGCAGAAUGAACUGAGGCGCAGCGAUGCUGGGCAGACCCUGCGAGUGAGUGGGCUUUGACUUGUCUGUGGGCCUCCACCUGGGGAAGCUGCCACUCAGUGCCCACAGUGUCGCUCAGAAUAAUGCCCCUGACCAGCAUUUACUGAACACGGCCUGUGCUCCACCCAUAUUCUGAGUUCUUUCUAAAUUCCCUAGAAGGUAAAUUUUGCAGGGAUACCCAUCUUGCAGAUGAAAAAACUGAGGCCUACAGGUUUUUAAAAUAUUUUAUUUACUUUUCUUCCCCCGCACAAUACAAAUGCUUUAACAAUGAGCCGAGUCAACGGGACAUCUGGGAACCCGCUGGCGGCAUCAGCGCAGCCUGCAAGCCUCCGGCUCUGACUCCAGGGUGUGCACAUCGCCCUUCCUCACGGGGCGGCUCAUGUCGUCCGUGAGCUCCACACGCACCUGCACGCCCUGUCCCUGAGAGCUGGUCCUGCCCGGCUGCACACUCUACUCGUGUCCUUGUUGGCGGCUUGCAGCGGUCGGGGGGAGAGCUUUCAUUUUUUUUUUAGAGAUUUAUUUUAUUUAUUUGAAAGACAGAGUUAGAGAGAGAGAGAGACAGACAGACAUAAAGAUCUUCCAUCUACUGGGUCAUUCCCCAAAUGGCUGCAAUAGUCAGAGCUGGGCCAGGCCAAAGCCAGGAGCCAGGAGCUUCAUGGAAGUCUCCUAUGUGGGUGACGAGAGUCCAGGGACUUGGGCCAUUUUCUGCUGCUCUCCCAGGCUCGUUAGCAGGGAGCUGCAUGGGAAGCAGAGCAGCCAGGACUCUAACCACUGCCCAUACGGGAUGCUGGCGCUGCAAGUGGAGGCUUAGCCCCUAUGCCACAGUGCCCUCCCCACCACCAGGCCUAGAGGUGUCCAUUCACUCACAGUCAGGAAGCACCAAUGCUCUCUGACUCCAAAAUCGCUGCCGUAACGAUUGUGCUCCGCUGCCUCCCAUCAUACUCCCCGCCCCCACACACCUUGCACACUCAUUUGAGAGUGCAAAGACAGAAGAGAUAAGAGAUAAGACCUGGGGUUCCAUGUGGUGAACACACACAAAUACAGAUGCUAACCGCCCCCCCACAUGCACAUUUGUUCACAUCCCCCAAAUACACAAAUACGUAUGCUUGCACACCACCAAAAACACCCCCACACAUACAUGUUCUACUCACGCACCCUGUGCAUCCAUAGUCACGCACACACAUUCACCUUUCCCACUGUGCGUGUUAGCAAGGCCUGGCCUCUAACAUGGGCCUGUGCUGUGACUGCCAGCGAGGAGCCUGAGGUUCAGCUAAUGAGCUGUGCCGGUUUUUUGUUUGUUUGUUUUUUUAAUUAAUUAAUUUAUUUAUUGACAGGCAGAGUUAGACAGUGAAAGAGAGAGACAGAGAGAAAGGUCUUCCUUUUUCCGUUGGUUCACCCCCCAAGUGGCCACUACGGUCGGUGCUGUUGCCCGUCCAAAGCCAGGAGCCAGGUGUUUCCUCCUGGUCUCCCAUGCGGGUGCAGGGCCCAAGCACUUGGGCCAUCCUCCACUGCCCUCCCGGGCCAGAGCAGAGAGCUGGACUGGAAGAGGAGCAACCGGGACAGAAUCUGGCGCCCAACUGGGACUAGAAUCCGGGGUGCCGGCGCCACAGGCGGAGGAUUAGCCUAGUGAGCCGUGGGGCCGGCCAAGCUGUGCCGUUUUUUGACACACACCCCCCCCACUUCCCUUCCAUUCAGUCCACAAACUUUGCUUCCUGCCAGGGGAGCACAUGACUCAGACCUGGCCCUUGCCCUAAAGGAACUUCCUCGCCUGGCAGGGAGAAAGGCCCCCCAGUGACCACACAGCUUGUCAAUGCCCAGGCAGGUCUGGGCAGAGCUUCCGUGCAGGGAGGGGCUGACUCACCAGGCCCGGGGGCUCCGGGACCUCCCAGAGGAGGAGGUACCCACCCGGAUCUUCAGAUGAGCCAGGCAGAGAAGCAGAGCCCACGUCGGCAGAGUCAUGACAGAUCAAAGAGUGGGGAGAAACAGCGAACGUUGGGCACUUUGGGUGCGGUACUCCAUCUAACCCCUCCACAACGCUACGGGGCAGACACAGCGAUGAACCGCAUCACGUAGGUAGGUAGAACAGGCUCGGACGGCUGAGCUGGUCAGCUGCAGAGGCAGGAUCUGAACCCUGGCUCCAGGCUAUAGGCUUACAGCCCCAGGGCCCUGUGCUGAGAGUGUGCUCACUUCUGCUCUGCUCCUCACACACUCUCUCCCCCAGCGCUGCAGGGGUGCUGACAGGGGCAGCACACAGCAUCACUCCCCUUAUAUCCCGUCCAGGAGCCUGCGUUGGCUCACUGAGUUAAGCCGCUGCCUGCAGUGCUGGCAUCCCAUAGGAGCGCCUGUUGGAGUCCCAGUUUUUUCUCUUCCAGACCAGCUCCUUGCUAAUGCACCUGGAAAAGCAGCAGAGGAUGGCCCAAGUGCUUGGUCCCCUGGCACCCAUAUGGGAGACCUGGAGGAAGCUCCUGGCUCCUGGCUCCUGGCUUUGGCCUGGUUCAGCCCCAACCAUUGCAACUAUUAGGGGAAUGAAUCAGUAGAUGGGAGGUAUUCUCUCUCUCUCCCUUUCAAAUAAAUAAAAUUUUAAAAAAACUAAUAAUAUCUAAGUGCCUGGGGCCUCCUUUGUCCAGUGCCACAAAAGAAAGCCAUUUUUCCAAGGAACUCCCAGGGAAGCGAGGUUUGCCCUUAGGGCCCGCACAGUUUGUUUUGACUUCGGCAGACAGCUUUGUAGCAUGUACUGCACAUCCCUCUAAAUUCAUCUCUGUGGACUGAAAGCUCAGAAGGUUGUUAACUCCUGCAAGGCAGCAAGCAAAUCGUGAGCCUCUGUGCAUCACAACAGGCGCGCUCAGGCGUGGCCCAGGACAGCUGCCUAGUCAAGGUUCUGCAGGACAGAACGCGCUAGACAUUAGAUGAGUUCACUUGGAAAUCCAUAUGCCCAGCUUCUUUCAAAAAACAUUAUCAGAAGACCCAGCAACUGGGCCUACGUGGUUGGCUGCCCUCUGUAGACGGUGAGUGAGUUCCCCACGCCUACAUAUGUCCCCAGCCCUAGCCACUUCAGUUGAGCCAACUGACACAGUUUUCUUAAUGGCCCAGGUCCAGUCAAUAAGCAUUGAUUGGUGUUCUCAUUUGCCCGGCACCCACAGAGGUGUUUGCCCCCCCCCCCCGCCCAGGCUAGAUGUCCCCACAUUGCAGGACUUCCUGAAUCCCGUGUGGGUUCUGAUGGACCUCCCUGCCCCCUUUUCUCAGCCGUCACCUCUUGCUCAUGGCUGUCCCUCUGAUGGGGUUGAACCUCCCUGGCCAGAGGCAGGGGCUGCUGCGGGACCACGGCCGCUGCUGACGGCCACUCCACUGGGAGUCCGGAUGGGACCUUAUUUGGAAAAAGGGCCUUUGUGGAUACAGUGCACUUGAGGGAUUUGAGAUGAGACCAUCCUGGUGUAGGGUGGGCCCUGAGUCCAGUGUCAGGUGUCCUCAAAAGGGAAGGGGAGAAGACUGGCGCAGAGGAGGCUGCGUAAGGACGGGGACAGAUGGGAGCUGCACUGCAAGGCUCGCCGAGGACUUCCGGCGGUCACCAGGAGCCAGGAGAGAAGUGGGCGCAGAUCCUCCCUCCGCGAGAGCCGGCCCUUCCUGAUGCCUUGACCUUGGGCUUCUGGCCUCCAGCCUGCGGACAGCAUACAUUUCUGUUGUCUGAAGUUCAGUAGCCCUAGGAAUCUAAUGUCCCUGGGAGACGAUGGAGGAGGCAAGCGGGGUGGACGCCUGAUCCUGGUGACUCUAGUGCCUCAGUUUCCCUCGUCCUCCCUCUGAGAAGUGCAGGGACAGCAACGAGACUUGUCCGGGCGGUCAUUCCCCACCCCCACCCCAAGGCCUCCAAAGCCUCCCAGGGAAUGAAUCCUCCUGGCAAGCUGUGGUUUAAUGUGCAACGCGUUUCCUUUUAAGCAUGCAUGAGGAAAUGACCUAAGGACGCCCUCUUGGGUGUGCGGGUGGGUCUCUAGGGAGGCGAAUCAGCUCUCCUGGCGUCCUAAGCAUCAGGAAUACAUAGUUGGUUCUCAGGCCGAAAGAGACAGGGAACCGGACGAACGGAAAGAAAGAGGGCAGGCGUGGGGACCGGCCUCUGGCUCGGGGGUUAAGGUGUGGCUUGAGACACCCACAUCCCACAUCACAGGGCCUGGGUUCAAGUCCUGUCUCCACAUCCAAUCCAGCUUUCCGUCAGUGCACAUCCUGGGAGGCAGCUGCGUGGGUCCCUGUCACCCACAUGGGAGACACGGAGUAGCUGCUAGACUACUGCCUUUUAGGGAGCGAACCAGAGGACACAAGGUCUCUGUCUGUCUCCUCACUGCCUUUCAAAUAAAAUGAACAUAGCUGGCGCCGCGGCUCACUAGGCUAAUCCUCCGCCUUGCAGCACCGGCACACCAGGUUCUAGUCCCGGUCGGGGUGCCGGAUUCUGUCCCGGUUGCCCCUCUUUCAGGCCAGCUCUCUGCUAUGGCCAGGGAGUGCAGUGGAGGAUGGCCCAGGUGCUUGGGCCCUGCACCCCAUGGGAGACCAGGAGAAGCACCUGGCUCCUGGCUCCUGCCAUCGGAUCAGCGCGGUGCGCCGGCCGCAGCGCGCCAGCCGCGGCGGCCAUUGAAGGGUGAACCAACGGCAAAGGAAGACCUUUCUCUCUGUCUCUCUCUCUCUCACUGUCCACUCUGCCUGUCAAAAAAUAAAAAAAAAUUAAAAAUAAUUAAAAAAUAAAUAAAAUGAACAUAGAUAAUUUAUUUUUCAAAAAAUGAAGAGGGGGGCUAGUGUUGUGGUACAGAGGAUUAAGCUGCCACCUGUGAUGGCGGCAUCCCCAGAGAGCACCAAUUUGGGUUCUGGCUGCUCUGUUUCCAAUACGGCUCCCUGCUAAUGCACCUGGGAAGGCAGCUGAGGAUGACCCAAGUCCUUGGGUCCUUGCCACCAAUGUGGGACAUCCAGAUGGAGUUCAGUCUGAGGCAUGGCCACUAUGGCUGUUUGGAAAGUGAACCAAGAGAUGGAGGCUCUCUUUCUCUCUCUGUCUCUCCAUCUCUCCCUCUCUCCCUCUCUCUCCCUCUGUAACUCUGCCUUUCAAAUAAGUAAGUAAGUAAGUAAAAACAGGAAGAGGGCAUGGGUGCAGUUUCUCAGACAGAAGUAGUGAGAGAAGCCUGGAUCGUGUCCAGCUCUGCCUGGUUUCCUUUUCUCACUUCUCCCCUCUCUCGUAUUCCAGGUACUUAGUGGGUGCCGGGACUGCACCUGCAGUACCACAGCUUCCCCUCUGUCAUAGAGAAAGCUGCACACCGUGAUCCUCAGAGGCCUUGUGGGGACAUUGUGGGUUGCCUGUUGCCCAGCUGGAUCCUGAACUACAAGCUCUGACAGUAGCCCCUUAACCUCGGGCAUCCAGGACGGGUCCUCACAGCCACGCUGGGACUGGUCAGGGCCGGGAUCACCACGCGUUUUACAGAAGAGGAGGGAUGAGCACUUGCCUAAGAGAGCGGUCAGAGGUAGCUGAGCGUCGGGGGCUCGCCGAGCUCAGCCCGUGUAGGGAAGCUGCUGCACUGACGGCCGUUUGUGGGAAGGAGCGAGUGAUGGGGCUGUGUUCUGCGAUCCUGGCCUUUGGGGGUGGAGGCGUAGGGCCCCGGAGGACAGAGCUUGGUGUCACCUCCUUGUGGUGGUCUGAGGCUGACUCUGGGUAACUGUCUCCCCUGGCAUUAGUUAUCCAUUGCUGCCUAACAAACUAAGCCAUAGUGUGGUGUGAAACAAUAGCAAUCACUUAUUAUUAUUAUUAUUAUCUUUUGGGUUUGGGGGUUGGUUGGACUCAGCUCAGCAGUUCUCACUCUGGGUCUGGUGUCGCUACAGUCAGAUGGUGGCUGGGCUGGGGCCAUCUGGAAGGUUCCCUCACUCGCCUGUCUGCCAGUGGGUGCCAUCAGCUGGGAUCGGGGUUGGGACUGUCAGCAGGAGACUACAUCUGGCUUCUCUAUGCGGCCUGGUAGCGGGGUCCGAGGGUGAGUGCCCUAAGAGCGCCGGUACAAGUUCUGUCACCUUUCGUGGUCUAGUGUUGGAGGUUGUGUGGCAUCACUGCCACCAUAGACCACCUCUUGCUGAGGGGCUGACAAGAUUCCAGGAGAGCACGAGGGAGGGGAGAGUUGUGACCAUGUUUGAAACAUACGCUGUGCCACAUCAGGGCAGGGGUGAGCUCUGGAGUCAGAUUCCUGGGUUCAGAUCCGAGAACUGCCACUGCAUGUCCGAGUCUCAGCUUCCUCUUCUGUAAAUGGGGCUGAUGGUAACAGCUGCUUCAUGGGAUGUCUGUAAGGCUCAGGCAACACAAAGACCCAAAGUGCAGGGCACCUGACACAUGCCCAAGGCUCAGGGGGUGUCACUGGGGUUGAGACAGGUCAUCAUACUAAGCUCUGGCCAGUGUGGCUCAUUACCCCUGGCUAUUGCCAGUUUGUAGGAACGUGAUGAAGACUGGGGGAGUUUUUGGAGAUGUGUGUGCAGGCGGGUCCAUGCGCGCCUGCCACAGGAGCCGAGCUGAGGCAGUGAGUGAGUGGAUGCUGUCAGUGUGGGUGGAAUGGAACUGGCAAGAGUCUGCACGCGUGAGACACAGGCAGGGCUGUGGGUGUGUGAGUGUGGGAACAUGGGGAGUGAGAUGUCCGAGGCUUCAAGUGUGCACAGUUAGGACCGGGUGUGAGCAGACAGAGCAACGGGGACAUAAAGGCUGUGGGUAUGGCCAAGCACAUCGGUUAGAGUCCAUGUGCAGGUACUCCUGAGGGUUUGUAUUUUCCCAGAGGUCUUUGUUUAUGCCUGGUGCUCUCAACAAAUGAGGAAAUGGAGGAGCAAGUUAACACUUUCAGAGCAUUCCAGGGAUGUUCCGAUCAACUGACCCCUGGACAUGAUGACUGUCUGGAAAGAUAAGGCAAGCCCAGGCCAGGGGCAUCAAAACAGACUUUCGCUGAAGUUCAUGACCGCACUUGGCCUGGGAACCAGGAACCCCGUUAGGGCUGACUGCUUCCCACACACAGUUGCCCCUUCAGUUUGGAUGGCAGUUCCACACUUGGCCUUCCUCCACAUCCCCUUGCUGUUAGCAGCCAGUCUGUUUUUCCACUCAAAGACGUCUGUUGAGUAGCCACUAGGAGGGAGGCACCGUGCCGAGGCCGGGGACUUCAAGCAGAGCCUCCUGUCCUGGAGGAGCUGCGUCCUGUGAAGGGAGCCUUACCUGCCGGGAGGGACAAUGACCAGUGACCAUGGCGGUGAGUGAAGAAAAACAAAGGGAGGGGGAGUGACUUGGGAAGUGGGAGACGCUGUAGAGGAGGCCGGGGAGGCAGAGCACAGAGCGCGCAUGGGUGUCUGUGGGAGACGUUAGGCAGAGAGAACCACAGGGACCAAGAUCCAGGGUGGGAAUAUGCCUGGUUCAUUGCAGGAGACAAGGAGGCUGGUGAAGGGGCAGUGCCAUGAGCUGAGGCAGAGGGGAGGAAGUUAGGUCAUGGAUCUGCCAGGAGCCGUGACCCGGAGCUCUUGCGGGGGAGGGCGACCCUCCUACCUUUCCUGCUCCUUCUCUGCUUCCCUCCCGUGCUCCUAGGGCCGCGAGAAACCACCCUGGUCGUUACUGAUAGCUCAAAACAACAGAAAUUCAUUUUCUCACAUCCUGGAGGUCAGACGUCCAAGACCAAGAUGUUGGCAGGGCUAUUCCCCUCUGAAGGAUCUGGAGAAGAAUUUUUAUUUUCUCUGCCAGCUUCUGGUGGUUCCAGGAGGCCCUUGGCCUGUGGCUGCAUAACUCCAAUCUCUUCCUUAAUUUUCUUUAUUUAUUUGAGAGACAGACAGAGUGCUUCAAUCCACUGGUUCAUUCCCCAAAUACCUGGAACAACCAGGGCCAGGCCAGACUGGAGCUGGGAGCUAGGAAUUCAAUACAGGUUAAUUACUUGGGCCAUCACUGUAAGGUCAUCACAAAACAGACCAAACACCAAAGUGAGGGAAAGAGUUUAUUGGGGGAAACCCGACAGACCAGAGGGAAGGGGCGAAGAAGGAAAAGAGAGAGAAGAGAAGAGGAAUGUAAGAGAGAGAGAGACGAGAUAAGAUAAAGAUCAAGAGAGAGAGAGAGAGAGAUCAGGAGACCAGAGAAAGAGAGUCACGUAUUCAGGAACAGGUCCUUCUAAAACUUUGGCCGGGGUCAGGAUGAGGGGCAGGCAGGGAAGUAGAAGCAGCAAAUCCCAUUAGGAUGGGGGUGGAGCUGACACUGGUGGUUGGGCCAUGUGGCCACCUGGCUUCCAGCAAUGGCAGCAGGGGCUAGAGCCUAGGAUGGUGUCAGGGUGUAGAUCACGCCCUCGGUAAGACUGCGCCAUUUUACUAACAAUCAUCGCUGUCUCCCAGGAUUUGCAUUAGCAGAGAGUAGAAUCAGGAGGCAGAGCUGAGAGCUGGAGCCAGGAAUCACAACCAGGUACUUCAGUGUGGCACAUGGGCAUCUUAACCGCUAGACCAAACACUCACUGCUUCUGCCUUCCUUUUCCCAUGGCUUUCUCCCUGUGUCUCUCUUCUGUGCAUCUCUGAUAAAGACACCUGUUAUCAGAUUAGAUAAUCCAGAAUGAUCUCAUCCUGAGAUCCUUGUGUUAAUCAUAGCUGCAAGGACCCUUUUUCCAUGUGAAAUCACAGUCCAGGUUCCAGGGGUCAGCACAUGUGCUCUGUAGCUUCCAAAUGUUUGUGAACACUCACGUGGUUUGCUACUUGAUGUUCUUGUUUGGGAGUCAGUUCCCCCCUCCCUUCCUGAGUGUGACAUGCAUCUUAUCACACCCCAUAUGUGAGAACUGGGAGCAACUCUCCAUCUGCCCUUGGCAGUGUUGCACAAAACCUUAUCAGACCCCUGCACUUCCAAACACAUACAAAGUCAAGUAUUGGAUCCACACUUUGAGAGCUUAAAUUGUGGCAGGCUGUGGGGAAUCCCACAGGAGUCCCAGAAGAGUUACAGAGCACCACUAACCCAAAAAGAAAGAGAAAAGGCAAAACCAAAAUGGAGUUACUUAAGCUAAGGCCACUAAGCACCAGGAACUGCCCAGACCAUCUGUCAGAACACACAGGUGGUGAGGCCUGAUGUGGACUGGGGGACAUUACAUCAUAAGAAGAAGCCAACCAGCUGGCUACUGCAUUACUUCACCCACACUACUGCACCACAAUUGGCCACACCCAGAAGACCCCCAGCACAUCAUUGGUUACACCCAAACACCAACAUGUGGUUGGUGACACCCAAACAAGGAUGAGCCUGUGAUUGGUGGCACCCUAGAGCACACCCACCGCCUACCUACCCCAGAAGGGGAUAACCAGGCAAACCUCACCACUGCUCUGCAUCCCCUCGGGGACCAUGGCUCAGUGUGAGUGAUGACCAAGUGGGUCCACUGCAUCUUGCUGAAACUGCAGGACUCUUCACUGGCCAAAACUCCGCUCACUACCCCGCUGGAUCCGACCUCACCUGGAAGUCCCAGCUGUUGCUGGAGCUGACAUCGAUCCCCCGGGUGACAGCAUCGGUGACUUCUCCAACUCUUCACCAUCGCUGUCCAUCUUAGAACUCCGAGUCUACUGCCCAGGGUGCUGAGCAUUCACUGCCCGGAACCUUCUCUGUCACCUCUCCCACCUUGGGGUAAUUUCCAUGGCAGCAGCAGACCACGAAUACAGUCACUCUUUGCCUUCCUUUCAUGAUCUUUAAAAUGAGCAUGGUGAUAGCCACUGCUCCAUGGAAUCACAGUAAGGAUUUGAUAAAAUGAUGCAUGCAAAGGGCCCGGCUCACAGCAGACAUUCAGGUGACGGAGCCAAUCGUGUCCUCCUUUUUUUUUUUUUUUUUUUUUUUUUUUUUGAUAGGCAAAGUGGAUAGUGAGAGAGACAGAGAGAAAGGUCUUCCUUUGCCAUUGGUUCACCCUCCAAUGGCCGCCACAGCUGGCGCACCACGCUGAUCUGAAGGCAGGAGCCAGGUGCUUCUCCUGGUCUCCCAUGGGGUGCAGGGCCCAAGCACUUGGGCCAUCCUCCACUGCCUUUCCGGGCCACAACAGAGAGCUGGCCUGGAAGAGGGGCAACCGGGACAGAAUCCAGCGCCCCGACCGGGACUAGAACCCGGUGUGCCGGCGCCGCAAGUCGGAGGAUUAGCCUAGUGAGCUGCGGCACCGGCCCGUGUCUCUUAUACAGGCUUCAGGAACCAAGAGCGGAAGUUGAGCACUGUGUAAGGAAGGGCUAGAGGGCAAGAUGAAAAGCAAAACUUAGUCUUAAUUUUCCUGGCAAUUCUGCUCUGACUCUCCAUUUUCAUGCCCCCUCCCAAGACAGAGUCCUGUAGGGAGCCUCUGUCCCCUCUCCUUAGAAGGCAGCAAGGAGACCAUCUGCCUUCCCUCCAGCACUCCCUUCGUUGUCUGCCAGCCCUAGCCCUGGGCUUAGCAAGCGAUUCCUUGCUCUCUGCCAGGAGUCCUGCUCAGCAGAGUUUGCGCCAUCUCAGCACUUCCCAGGGGUGUCCCCUGACCCCUGGGAGCUACCAGGGAAGAAUUGCUUCGCUCCUUAAUCUCUCUCUGAGAACCAGGUUUAAAGUUUAACUCUGCUACCAAUUUGCUAUUUGUCAAGUCACUCAACUUCUUGAGCUCCAUUUCCUCAUCUGCCAAUUAGAGAUGGUAAAUUGUGCCUCAUGGUCACUGGGAGAAGAGAAUGAAGCAAGACAGUGAGUUAUGAAAGCUUUGUUGAAUGGAAAUAAUAAACCAUAAACGCUCCCAGACUAUCAGGUGCGUCCCGGCUCCCUGCAGCUGGAGCCACUUAAUCUCACACACAGGCUCUGCCCUGCUCUAGGCUUGAGACUAACUUUGUUUUCUUUUGUUUUUAUAAUGUUUUUCUAUUAAAAAAGAUGUAUUUAUUUGAAAGAGUUACAGAAAGAGGGAGAGAUCUUCAUCUGCCUGUUCUUCUCUCUCUCUCUCUCUCUCUUUUUAAGAUUUAUUUAUUUAUUUGAAAGGCAGAGACAGAGAGAGAGAGAGAGAGAUGUCUUAUAUCUGCUGGUUCACUCCCCAAAUGGCUGCAAUGGCCAGAGCUGCACUGAUCCAGAGCCAGGAGCUUCUUUUUUGGUCUCCCACUCAGGUGCAGGGGCCCAAGGACUUGGGCCAUCUUCUAUUGCUUUCCCAGGCCAUAGCAGACAGCUGAUCAGAAGUGGAGCAGCCAGGACUCAAACUAGCAUCCAUAUGGGAUGCCGGUCCUGCAGGUAGCUAUUUUACCGGCUACACCACAGCACCGGCCGCCAUCUGCUGGUUUUUUCCCCAAGUGGCUGCAAAGGCCAGGGCUGGGCCAGGCUGAAGCCAGGAGCCAGGAGUUUCAUCCAGGUCUCCCACGUGGGUGCAGGGACCCAUACUUGGGCCAUCUUCUGCUGCUUUCCCCAGGCCAUUGCAGGGAGAUGGCUCGGAAGUGGAGCGGCUGGAACAUGAACUGUUCCAUCCAUAUGGAUGUGGCCUCAUAGGCAGCGGCUUUACCAGCUAUGCCACAGCACUGGCCUUCCCAGCCCCCAAUUUUUUUUUUUUAAUCAUGGGACUUUAAAGAGAUUUAAUCUUUUUUAAUCAGGGGCUUAGAAGUAACUUGUAAAUGUGCCCCAGUGCCCUCUUCCUAUAACCAAACCCAAGUUAAAAUAUUUUUAAAUCAGCAAAAAUAAUAAAAUCACAUUAUAGGAUACUGAUCCUUAAAUGUGGAUGCACAUUUAGAAUCAGCUGAGGGGUUAAUGUUGAUGCCCUAUCUCCAAAGAUCUGGGUUUAAUCAUCUAGGAUAUGGCUUAACCGUUGAGCUUUUUAAAAGCUUCUCGCUUCACCGCUCUGAAGUUAAAGUGACUGAACUUACUGUUCCAUCUGAAAUAACAAAAACAGAAAACAAGGGGCUGACGUUAUGGCUUAGCAGGUUAAGCCUCUGCCUGCGACGCCAGCAUCCCAUAUGGGUACUGGUUCCUGUCCCAGCUGCUCCACUUUCUGAUCCAGCUCCCUGCUAAUGCACCUGAGAUAGCAGCAGAAGCUGGCCCAAGUCCUUGGGCCCUUGCACCCACCUGGGAGACCUGGAAGAAGCUCCUGGCUCCUGGCUCCUGGCUUCAGCCUGGCCCAGCCCUGGCUGUUGGGGUCAUUUGGGGAAUGAACCAGCAGAUGAAAGAUUCUCUCUCCCCUCUGCCUUUCCUUCUCUAUAACUCUGACUUCCAAAUAAAUAAAUACUUAAAAAAAAAAAAAAAAAAAAAAAAAAACAGAAAACAAAAUGAAACAAUUGUUUUCAAAGUGGAAUAUCAGGCAAUGAAAGACAGGAAUGAAGCCGAUGAAAUCAGUGAAAUGAGACCUGUGAUUGCCCCAAACUGCAAUAUAGAGAGAUUUCAGCCCACAAUGCUGAGUGCAGAAACCCAGGUGGAGCCCAGAAGAGGCUCUGAGUUGGGGAGAAGGAGCUGACAGUGUGUGGGGGAGAAUGAGGAAGCCAGGACAGAGCACUGGAGAGAGGAAAAAUGCAUGGAACUCUGCACAAGGAUGCAGCCUCAUCCUCAUUGACACAAGCAGGUGAAGCAACAAUCCAGAAGAUGAGGACAGACGCACCCACGGAGUGAGAGGAGAGAAUACUAGGACUCAGUCAUCCAAAACCACCCAUCAGAGAAGUUGUGACACUGGAUUCAAUCCUGAAUAUUUCUGCCUCUCCCAGUCCUUGUCCUUUGCAAAUUAUGAAAAUUAAGUAAGAGGAUAGACUUUAAAGCAUUUGUGCCAGCAUAACAUAUUCUGAUUAAAAUAAUUAACAGUUGGGGCCAGUGCCGUGGCCUAGCAGGUAAAGCCGCCUCCUGCAGCGCUGGCAUCCAAUAUGGAUGCUGCCUGUUCAAGUUCUGGCUGCUCCACUUCCGAUCCAGCUCUCUACUAUGGCCUUGGAAAACAGUGGAAGAUGGCCCAAGUCCUUGGGCCCCUGCACCCACGUGGGAGACCAGGAGGAAGUACCUGGCUCCUGGCUUCGGAUCAGCCUCUGUCUCUCUGUGAUUCUGCCUUUCAAAUAAAUAAAUCUUUUUUAAAAAAAUUAACAAUUCUGUGGUUCCUCAAUCCAAUUUGUCAAUGCAAUUGACAUUCCUAGUCAAGUCUCCUCUAAUAAUUCCCCAGAAUUUCUGGAAAUGUCUUACCUAUAUUCCACAACAAGCUCUCUCAGCUGCCACAUGACCUUGUCAUUGCUAACCCUGACUGAGCAGGUCCUUACUGUGUGCUCUGCACCCACGUGGGAGACCGGGAAGAAGCUCCUGCGUCCUGUCUUCAGCCUGGCCCAGUCCUGGUUGUUGUAGCCAUUUAAAUGGAGAGUGAACCAGCAGUUAGAAGACCUCUUUCUCUCCGUCUCUACCUUUCUUUGUAACUCUGCCUUUCAAAAAAAAUAAAAAUAAAUCUUUAAAAAAAUUUUUUAAAAAUUAUUUCCUAGGACAAUAUCAAAAAAUUUUUCUGUUUGCUUCUAGUACUUGUAUAGUUUUGAGUAUUACAUUUAUGUCGUUAGUCCACUUUAAGUUGAUUUUUUUAAUAUGGUCUGAGAUAAAGAUCUAAUUUUAUUCUUCUGACCACAGAUACACAGUUUUCCCAACUUCAUUUAUUAGAGACUGUUCUUUCCCCUUGCUGUGUUUUUGGCACCUUUUUCAAAAGUUAAUUGGCUGAAAAUGCAUAGAUAUAUUUCGGGGCUCUAUAUCUUGUUGCAUUGGUCCUUGUGUCUUUUUUUUUUUUUAGAGAUUAUUUAUUUGAAAGGCAGAGUUACAGACAGAAAGGGGUGAGACAAAGAAAGUUCUUCCAUCUGCAACGGCCUGAGCUGGGCCUAUCUGAAGCCAGGAGCUUCUUCCAGGUCUCCCACAUGAAAGCAGGGGCCCAGACCUCUGCUGCUUUCCCAGGUACAUUAGCAGGGAACUGGAUUGGAAGUGGAGCUGCCGGGACUUGAACCAUCACAGUGCCGGCCCUCAUGUAUCUUUUAAUGCUGAUACUUUGGUAUUUUAAUUAUUGCAGUUUUGUAGUAUAUUUUGAAACCAGGAAGUGUGAAACCUCUGGCUUUGUUCUUUUUGCUCAAGAUUGGUUUGGCCAUGUGGGUUUGCUUGUGAUUCCAUCCAGAGGGCUGGAACAAAAAUGCUUGUUUUCCCUUAAGGAAAGAACUUCAGAUGUGAGACAGAGAUCAGCAGCAAGCAUGCUGGCAAAGCCUAAUGCAAAGGCCAGGCGGUCUUCUCAGCAAAGAACAGACAGCCCCAUCUGCAUGCACACUGAGUUUUUGUGGGUAUGGGUCCCCUGUGUCUCCUACCUACUCCCUCUUCUGGGUUGUUGCUGCUCUUGGAAUUCUUAAAAUCCUCCCGGGGCUUUAUCAGCAGUGUUACUGGACCCUAUAGCCCCCAGGUUGGAGCUGGGAAGAUUCCCCUAAGAUGCCCCAGGGAGCGCCUGGACUCACCUAACCGGUUAUUAGGCGGGCAAGACUUAGGUUGUGCACAUGCUGGUCAGCUUCCAAGACAUGCUUUCUUCCCUCAUUCAACUGCACAAAAUUCCCUUGUUCUCAGGCCCCUCUCUCACAUCUAGGCUAAUGCCUAUCUUCUACCUAACAAUUUUAGAAUUUUUCUUUUUAUCUCUGUGAAGCAUGUCAUUGGGAAUUGUAGAUCAUUGAACUUGUAGAUCACUUUGCUAAUAUGGCCAUUUUAGCAAUAUUUAGUUUUCUAAUCUGUGAACAGAGGAUGACUUUCCAUUAAUUUGUGUCUUCUUCAAUUUCUUUUAUCAGUGCUUUUACGGUUUUGAGUAGUUUGGGUUUUUUGUUUGUUUUAGUUAGAAAGGUAGAGUGACAGAGACAAGAAAAAAGAUUUUUUAAAUUUAUUUGGGGGGGGGCCAGUGCUGUGGCAUAGCAGAUAAAACUGCCUCCUGCAGUGCCGGCAUUCUAUGUGGGCUCUGGUUCGAGUCCUGGCUCCUCCAGUUCUAAUCUAGCUCUACUGCUCUGGCCCGGGAAAGCAGUAUAAGACGGCCCAAGUUUUUGGGCCCCUGCACCCGGAUUGGUACAGCUCUGGCCAUUGCAGCCAAUUGGGGAGUGAUGGAACAAAGACAUAGCCUCAGCCAUUCUUGCUUAUUGCUCAAAAGAGAGAUAAGCAAUGGAAUUUAUUCCUUGCCCUUGAAUCUCAAUUGGGUCUCACACUCUAUUGCCUUCAUAUUCCAUCCCCCACAGCCACCUGAAAGACUAGUUGCUAGAACACUUGAAAGACCAGUUCCAGGGCCAGCACUGUGGCAUAACGGGUAAAAGCUGCCGCCUGCAGUGCUGGCAUCCCAUAUGGGCACCGGUUUGUAUCCUGGCUUCUCUGCUUCAAACCAGCUCUCUGCUAUGGCCUGGGAAAGCAGUAGAAGAUGGCCCAGGUCCUUGGGCCCCUGCACCUGUGUGGGAGACCUGGAAGAAGCUCCUGGCUCCUGGCUUCGUAUCAUCACAGCUCUGGCCAUGGCGGCCAUCUGGGGAGUAAACCAGCUGUACGGGAAACAUGAAGGACGCAGGGAAGCACCAGGUCUGUUCCUUACGUUGAUUCCAGAAGAGGCAUUGCAAAGCAGCUGAGAGAAACAGAUCUGGGUUCAAAUCUCGGGGCUGUUUCUGGCAUCGUCUGUGAGUUUUGGCACCCAACUCCUCUGAACUCUCUUCCUCUCCGAACAUGGACUGCACUGUCUAUGACGUCCCUGGGUAGUCGUGGGGACAAAUAAGAGCACAUGUAGUUCAGAGCAUACAGCAAGCGCUCAGUAUGUGUGUCCUUGGCUCUUCCCUUCACAGUUUACAGAGGGCCCUUGGAAUGUCACUACAGAGGACAUCCAGGACUGGGAGAGACAGCCUCUUCCCUGGGCGGGAGGGGAUUGAAGUUUGGGGAGGGGGGCUAUCUUACAGUUCCCUGCCGUGAGCUGGACAAUAAAAGACAUUUGACCUCAAUUUCCAGAUGUCCAAAGAGGCCCAGAGAUGCAAUCACACAGCAUGUAAAGGGCAAGGAGGAACCAAAUUAGGAGAAACGGUGGGACAAGGGCAUCGCCAAAGGGAUUCUUAGAAGUAAAAAUCAUGCCAGUUUGUGGCUCACAAGAACAGGUCAGAGAUGGAGCUGUCUACAACAGGUCAUUGCAAACUGAGCCCAGAAGACAGACUGCAUUUUGCCUGCAUAUGAUAAUUUCGAGCAUAUCAAAUGGUUGCAAGAACCACACAGUGCACACCCAUCUGCCUGGAUUCUACAGUUGUUGGCUGUUGCUUUGCCCCAUAUUUUCUGAUUCAUCUGCCACUCGUCUUUUUUGUAGGUCGCUACUUCUACACAUUUCAGGAUACCCAUCAUUAACUAGGGCUCAACUUUCGUUUUUGGUGUUAAAUAAAAUGUAGAGGAGGCCAUUGGUUUGGACAGAGCUUCUACACUAGGUCCCGACCCAACCAAAAUGGAGUUGAUCAUGUUCAAGUUCCACAUCACCAAGCCUGAACCCAGUUCUUUAUCUGACCUUGGGAGAAAUCAGGAGAUUGAGAUAAUAGCUAAACCUCAAAGAAGUCAGUUUUAGCUGACAUGAUAAGAAAGCUCACUCUGCUUUCAUCCUUAGGAGCAAAGUAACUGAAACAACCAAUCUGCCUUUUCAGUCCCUCUACGUCGUCAAACUCCUCUGCUCAGCUCAUCAGAGCACUGAUUCUGUUAUGUAUUGCCUGAUUCUAGAAUUGCAAAUAAAAGGCAAUUAAGAUCUUUGAACUAAAUUUGUUGUAAUUUUGUCUUUUGGCAGUUGUUUUUCCUUAUUUUUUGAAGUUAAAUUUACAUAUAGUGAUGUGCAUGGAUCUCUUACUACUUGCUGAGUUUUGCCAAAUGCACACAGCCGUGUAAUCCAAGUAAGACAUUGAAGGAACAAUUUUAAUGCUCCAGAAAAUUCCUUGUGCUCCUUUCCAAUCAAUCCCUUCCCUCCUGAAGCAAUCACUAUUACGAUUUUUACCAUUAGUUAAAUAUUUCCUGUUCUAGCAUAUCAUACAAAUAAAAU